UGGACAAAUCAUGCAGCGUCAUGGACUCAUCUUCUAUAGCACAUAAGUAGGCGCGCAUGCCAGAUUGGUUCCUUCCCACUACCUAGCUGAUGUUGUUUGUACCCAGACUACCCACAGUGCCUGAUGAAGCUACAAGACCGCAAAUAGACGAGCCCACGGAGAACCAACAUCCUUGUGUAUCUUGAGCUGCUGCAUCACUUGAUGGAACGAGAUAUGGUUGUCUGGAACACAGCAGGAUUAGCAAGUAAUUUCGAGGGUAAUCUUGUAUGCGCCCUGGGCUCAGUUUGUGCCGCGAUAAAUUGUUUUCAACAUGUAAUACAUUUGUUAUAUUCAUGAGCCGUUGAGAACACAAUGCUGAGUUGCCAAGAGAACCAAAAAAGUGUGGUACAAAUCACCAUCUCUCUUUGUUCUAAACUGACUCCUACCUCCCUUAAAAAAAGUUGUUUGAUUACACCAAGGGUUAAUCAAACUAAGCCUGCUUAAAAAAUUGCAUCCCUAUGCUUGAAAAUUCAGUUCAUGUAUGUACGCAUUUUAAAAUAAUUCAGUAAAAUCAUAAUAAUACCAGCUCGCUAUCUCACGUGAGAGCAACCUUUUUCCGCCGCAUGCCAGGUGAGAUGGCGAACUGGGUGUGCUUUCUGUGUCAGGUGAGAUGGCGAACUGGGUGUGCUUUCUGUGUUCGCGUUGUGUGGGACCGUGGGAGUGCUAAGGUUUGUCAACUCAAAAAAUAUCUUCUUUUUUGAGAAUUACUCGAAAAAUAUCCGUGUACAUUUUUGGUGUUUCUCUUGUAUGACAAAAAAUAUCUUCUUUUUUGAGAGUUACUCGAAAAAUAUCUGUGUAACAUUUUUGGUGUUUAUCUUGUAUGACGAAAGCGUGUGCGUAAUACUCCUAGGAAUGGAGCUCCCCUCCCGUAUGGGUUUGUUAUUGUGGGACUGCGGCGUGUACACCAAUACAAAGAAUGGAAUCGAACGGUCAAGAAACGGGUGAAUGUCUGAAUUGUUGGUUGAAUUAGACAGAGACAUUUUUGUUUGAACUGGAAUUAGAUAGGCUUGGGGUAUGAACUCGGCGACGCGAGUUUCUUUCAUCGCGAAUUCUCGAGAAUGCUCUGGUCUCCCUCCCGACGCGCCGGAAACACCGGAUCGAAAGCUCCAGCCACACGGCUAAAAUUAGCACGCUCGCUCCGUUCUGAACUGCCUACCGCUCCUCAGUUCCAUGGAUGCGCAUCACGGCCAGUGGAUGGAUUGGUGCGUGAAACAUAUGCCAAAGGAACACGACGGUCUGCUACUCACGAUCGUGCCCGGUCCAUGUGGUCCGGUGGACCAUCGCUCACUACGGCGUUCUGCGCACUGCACGCCGGCACGGGGACCAUGCAAAUGCAAUGCAAGCUAGCGAACCAAUGGGCGCCACCGCACGGCGUUCAGCAGUGGCAUAUCCUCGUUCCGGAGACCGAAUCUGCACGUGCCUGUGUAGUGUAGGGCGCGUGCACGCGACUCUCUCGCCAACGUGCUGUGGUACCGCGCGUUGCUGCGGCGUGGACUUGGGAGGCUUCCUUCCACGCCUGGAAACGUGAGAAUGAUCCGCUCCCAAGUCUGGAUGUGGUUUCCCGAAAAAAAAAAUCUGGGAUCUGGGAUCUAUCAACUGUGCGCGCUUGGAAUGUCGUUUUGCUUAGGAAUACACCUGUAAACAAUACAUCUCUCCAUCCGUCGUUUCGCUUCCGGCCGAAAAUCACUACUGGCCCGGUAAAUUACACCUGUAAAUUAAAUACCGGUGUAUUUAAAUACACCCAAUCCAAGCGCUUUUUAAGUGUAAAAGUUCAUCAAAAGUAUAAAGCAACUCAAAUGUAAUAAAAAUUAUAUUAAGAUCUCUGGACCACCGCGAACGACCGCGGCUAGCGUCAGAACGGGCCGCGGACGUGUUGAUAUCGCCGCUCUCGUACCAAAGUCUGGUUAACCUUGUCAAUGAGAGUUGGGACGUCUUCACGCACGUGCUCAUAAUGACCAACGUCCCGAAGCAGCAGUCAUGACAAACUCUAAGAGACAAAUUUGGAUCUCGAGUUAUUGGCCCGAAUCCUUCAUGACAGACUCUUUAAUCUCUCCUUCUAAAUUCGAAGUUGUCAUGUGCCGUUCAUGGGCGCUAGCCCCUAGCCUUCCUCCGCCUUCCCGGUCUAGUCUCUCGUGUUGCCGCCGCCCCUCCUCUUCCCUUGCCACCACUUUGCCAUCUGUUUCCCAACUCUUAUCUCCUGUCCUCCAAAACUAUAUGUUCUUCUUGUCGGUCAUACUUUCAAGUCCAAGGUGCGAAGGUGACUCUAAUACUAACAUCGAUAACUUAAAUCAAGCAAUUAAGUUCUUUUUUGCAAUAAGCGGCUAAGCUCAGUGCAUCCAUUGAUAGUGUUAUUUUUCUUUAGGGAAUGACAUCAUGGGUAGCUUCAUUAAAAAUAAAAUUAAUGAACUCAUUGACCCAGUUACAUGAUAAUUUAUUCAAGAAACAAAAUUAGCUACCUUAUGGGUUGUGCGUAAAAAGUGUGUAAUGCUAGAUUUUUGGGUCCAGCCUUUUGAAUAUCCAAUACGUCCCACCAUUAAUUUCACUGAACACACAUUAAGUCUUGUGUUGAGAUGUAAAGGACAUUCUACAUUCACUCUCAUGUCACUUCUUUGAGCUCCUCCUCCUCUUUGCUGCAAAUCCUAUCUUUCAAACACCCAACCUCUCUGGCCCCUGGAUCUAUCCCAUGAGAGUUUUAGUGUGGAGAAAAUUACCUUUUGAAGCACUAGCAAGGGAGUUGAUUACCUUUGAUGAUACGGUUUCGGUUGUAGAUAAUGAUGUCUUUUUGCCUAGAGGUGACCCUAGAUUAUUGAACCCACGAGAAGAAUUGCUAAUUGAAAGGUGAUUCUAACAAGUUCUGCCAUCGCUGAAAGAUCCAAUUUUCCGGACCGAAAACACACAGUUUAAACUGAGAAACAAUAAAUAGGCUAAGGCUUAAGAUCUUCACACGCAACCUUAUAGUUACACACUGGGGUGAAGGAAACAUGCCCUAGAGGCAAUAAUAAAGUUGUUAUUUAUAUUUCCUUAUAUCAUGAUAAAUUUUUAUUAUUCAUGCUAGAAUUAUAUUAACCGGAAACUUGAUACAUGUGUGGAUACAUAAACAAAACACGGUGUCCCUAGUAAGCCUCUAUUAGACUAGCUCGUUAAUCAAAAAUGGUUAAAUUUCCUAGCCAUAGACAUGUGUUGUCAUUUGAUGAAUGAGAUCACAUCAUUAGGAGAAUGAUGUGAUGGACAAGACCCAUCCGUUAGCUUAGCAUGUUGAUCGUUCAGUUUUAUUGCUAUUGCUUUCUUCAUGUCAAAUACAUAUUCCUUCGACUAUGAGAUUAUGCAACUCCCGGAUACCGGAGGAAUAACUUGUGUGCUAUCAAACGUCACAACAUAACUGGGUGAUUAUAAAGAUGCUCUACAGGUAUCUCUGAAGGUGUUUGUUGGGUUGGCAUAGUCGAGAUUAAGAUUUGUCACUCCAAGUAUCGGAGAGGUAUCUCUAGGCCCACUCGGUAAUGCACAUCAUAAUAAGCCUUGCAAGCAAUGUGACUAAUGAGUUAGUUGUGGGAUGAUGUAUUACAGAACGAGUAAAGAGACUUGCCGGUAACGAUAUUGAACUAUGUAUGAAGAUACCGACGACCGAAUCUCGGGAAAGUAACAUACCGAUGACAAAGGGAAUAACAUAUGUUGUCAUUAUGGUUCGACCGAUAAAGAUCUUCGUAGAAUAUGUGGGAACCAAUAUGAGCAUCCAGGUUCCGCUAUUGUUUAUUGACCGGAGAGGUGUCUCAGUCAUGUGUACAUAGUUCUCGAAUCCGUAGGGUCCGCACGCUUAACAUUCGAUGACGAUUUUGUAUUAUAUGAGUUAUGUGAUUUGGUGACCGAAUGUUGUUCGGAGUCUUGGAUGAGAUCAUAGACAUGGCGAGGAGUAUCGAGAUGGUCGAGAGGUAAAGAUUCAUAUAUAGGACGAUAGUAUUUGGUCACCGGAAGUGUUCCGGGGGUACCGGGUACAUAUCGGGUCACCGGAAGGGGUUCCGGGCACCCCCCCCAACAAAGAUUUGGGCCUAUUGGGCCAAGAGGGGAAACGCAACAGCCAUCAUGGGCUACUGCACCCUCCAUGUAGGCCGAAUAGGAAGAGGAAGGAAAGGGGGGAAGAAAGAAAGGAAGGGGAGGGAUUCAGCCUCCCCCUCCUCUUUCCUUCUUCCUCCGGAAAACAUGGAAGGGGGAGGGGGGCGAAUUGGGGUGGGAGCCCAAGUAGGAUUCGGCCUACUUGGGCGCCCCUUGCUGCCUCUUCCCCCUCCAACCUAUAUAUAUGUGGGGAAGGGGGACGCCUAGAACACACAGAAACAACUGUUAGCCGUGUGCGGCGCCCCCCUCCACAGUUUACUCCGGCUAUAUUGUCGUAGUGCUUAGGCAAAGCCCUGCGCAGAUCACUUCACCAUCACCGUCACCACGCUGUCGUGCUAGAGAAAGUCUCCCUCGACACUUUGCUGGAUCAAGAGUUCGAGGGACGUCAUCGAGCUGAACAUGUGCAGAACUUGGAGGUGUCGUACGUUCGGUGCUUGAUCGGUCGGAACGAGAAGAAGUUCGACUACAUCAACCGCGUUGUCAAACGCUUCCACUUUCGAUCUACGAGGAUACACGGACACACUCUCCCCCUCUCAUUGUUAUGCAUCUCCUAGAUAGAUCUUGCAUGAGCGUAGGUAAAAUUUUGAAAUUGCAUGCUACGUUUCCUAACAGUGGCAUCCGAGCCAGGUCUAUGCGUAAAUGAUAUGCACUAGUAGAACACAAAAUAUUGUGUGCAGUGAUCGUCAUACUGCUUAUCACCAAUGUCUUAUUUUGAUUAUGCGGUAUUGUUGGAUGAAGCGGCCCGGACCAACCUUACAUGACCACGUUCAUGAGACCGGUUCCACCGACAACCAUGCAACUAGUUUUGCAUAAAGGUGGCUGGCGGGUGUCUGUUUCUCCUACUUUUGUUGAAUCAAAUUUGACUGCGGCCUGUCCUUGUUGAAAAAAUAGCAAACUUGAUAAAUCACCGUUGUGGUUUUGAUGCGUAGGUAAGAACAGUUCUUACUAGAAGCCCAUAGCAGCCACGUAAAACUUACAACAACAAAGUAGAGGACGUCUAACUUGUUUUUCCAGGGCAUGUUGUGAUGUGAUAUGGUCAAGACAUGAUGUGAUAUAUGUGGUUGUAUGAGAUGAUCAUGUUUUGUAAAAGUUAUUGGCAACUGGCAAGAGCCUUAUGGUUGUCGCUUUAUGGUAUGAAAUGCAAACGCCGUGUAAGUGCUUUACUUUAUCACUAUGCAUUAGCGAUAGUUGUAGAAGCAAUAAUUGGCGAGAUGACCACGAUGCUGGAGAUCAAGGUGUCAAGCCGGCGACGAUGGAGAUCAUGACAGUGCUUUGGAUAUGGAGAUCAAAGGCACAAGAUGAUGAUGGCCAUAUCAUGUCACAUAUUUUGAUUCCAUGUGAUGUUUAUCUUUUAUGCAUCUUAUUUUGCUUAGUACGGAGGUAGCAUUAUAAGAUGAUCCCUCACUAAAAUUUCAAGGUAUAAGUGUUCUCCCUGAGUAUGCACCGUUGCAACAGUUGGUCACGCCGAGACACCACGUGAUGAUCGGGUGUGAUAAGCUCUACGUUCACAUACAAUGGGUGUAAGACAAUUUUGCACAUGCGGAAUACUCAGGUUAAACUUGAUGAGCCUAGCAUGUACAGACAUGGCCUCAGAACACUGGAGACCGAAAGGUCAAACGUGAAUCAUAUAGUAGAUAUGAUCAACAUAGAGAUGCUCACCAUUGAAAACUACUCCAUCUCACGUGAUGAUCGGACAUGGUUUAGUUGAUAUGGAUCACGUGAUUAUUUAGAUGACUCGAGGGAUGUCUAUCUAAGUGGGAGUUCUUAAGUAAUAUGAUUAAUUGAACUUAAUUUAUUAUGAACUUAGUCCUCUUUGUAUUUGCAUAUCUAUGUUGUAGAUCAGUAGCUCGCGCUGUAGCUCCCCUAUGUUUUCAAUAUGUUCCUAGAGAAACCUAAGUUGAAAGAUGAUAGUAGCAAUGAUGUGGAUUGGGUCCGUGAUCUGAGGAUUAUCCUCGUUGCUACACAGAAGAAUUAUGUCCUUGAUGCACCGCUAGGUGACAGACCUACUGCAGGAGCAGAUGCAGACGUUGUGAACGUUUGACAAGCUCGGUAUGAGGACUACUUGAUAGUUUAGUGCACCAUGCUUUAUGGCUUAGAACUGGGACUUCAAAAACAUUUUGAACGCCACGGAGCAUAUAAGAUGUUCCAAGAUUUGAAAUUGGUAUUUCAAACUCAUGCCUAUGUCGAGAGGUCUGAGACCUAUGACAAGUACUUUGCCUACAAGAUGGAGGAGAAUGGCUCAGCCAGUGAGCAUGUACUCAGAAUGUCUGGGUAGUGCAAUCGCUUGAAUCAAGUGGGAGUUAAUCUUCCAGAUAAGAUAGUGAUUGACAGAGUUCUUUAGUCACUAUCACCAAGCUACUAGAACUUCAUGAUAAACUAUAAUAUGCAAGGGAUGACGAAAACGAUUCCCGAGCUCUUCGCGAUGCUGAAAUCGAUGAAAGUAGAAAUCAAGAAAAAGCAUCAAGUGUUGAUGGUUGACAAGACCACUAGUUUCAAGAAAAAGGGCAAAGGAAAAGAAAGGGAACUUCAAGAAGAAUGACAAGAAAAUUGCCACUCUCGUGAAGAAGCCCAAAGCUAGACCUAAGCCUGAAACCGAGUGCUUCUACUAUAAAGGGAAUGGUCACUGGAAGCGGAACUACCCCAAAUACUUGGCGGAUAAGAAGGGUCGCAAAGUGAACGAAGGUAUAUUUGAUAUACAUGUUAUUGAUGUGUAUUUUACUAGUGUUCAUAGUAACACCAGGGUAUUUGAUACCGGUUCAAUUGCUAAGAUUAGUAACUCGAAACAAGGGUUACAAAAUGAAAAGAGACUAGUUAAGGGUGAGGUGACGAUGUGUGUUGGAAGUGAUCCCAAGGUUGAUAAGAUCACCAUCACACACUCACUCUACCUUCAGGAUUAGUGUUGGACCUAAAUAAAUGUUAUUUGGUGUUUGCGUUGAGCAUGAAUAUGAUUGGAUCAUGUUUAUUGCAAUACAAUUAUUCAUUUAAGUCAGAGAAUAAUUGUUGUCUUGUUUACAUGAAUAAAACCUUCUUUGGUCAUACACCCAAUCUAAAUGGUUUAUUGGAUCUCGAUCAUAGUGACUGAUACGUCUCCAACGUAUCUAUAAUUUUUGAUUGUUCCAUGCUGUUUUAUUAUCAAUCUUGGAAGUUUUAUAAUCAUUUUAUAUCAUUUUUGUACUAACCUAUUGACAUAGUGCCAAGUGCCAGUUGCUCUUUUUUCCAUGUUUUUUACAUAGCAGAAAAUCAAUAUCGAACGGAGUCCAAAUGUCACAAAACUUUACGGAGAUUUUUUAUGGACCAGAUGGAAGAUAUUGGGCCCUGGUUGCACCUGGGAGGAGUCCCGAGGAGGGGGCAACCCACCAAGGUGUGCCAGGAGGCCCUGGCGCGACCUGGUGGGUUGUGCCCACCUCGUGUGCCCCCGGACUGCCUCUUUGCUCUAUAAAUACCCCAAUAUUCCCAGAACCCUAGGGAAGUUGAAGAAAUAUUCAUCCAGCUGACGCAGAGUCCAGAACCACCAGAUCCAAUCUAGACACCAUCACGGAGGGGUUCACCACUUCCAUUGGUGCCUCUCCGAUGAUGCAUGAGUAGUUCUUUGUAGACCUUCAGGUCCGUAGUUAGUAGCUAGAUGGCUUCAUCUCUCUCUCUCUCUCUUGAUUCUCAAUACAAUGGUAUCUUGGAGAUCCAUAUGAUGUAACUAUUUUGCGGUGUGUUUGUUGGGAUCGAUGAACUUUGAGUUUAUGAUAAGAUCUAUCUUUUUAUAUCCAUGAAAGUAUUUGAGUUUCGUUGAUCUCUUUUAUGCAUGGUCUCUUAUAGCCACGUAUUUCUUCUCUGAUAUUUGGGUUUUUUCCGGCCAACUUGAUAUAUUUAUCUUGCAAUGGGAAGAGGUGCCCGGUAGUGGGUUCGAUCUUACGGUGCUUGAUCCCAGUGACAAAAAGGGAACCAACACGUAUGUAUCAUUGCUACUAAGGAUAAAAAGAUGGGAUCUAUAUCUACCGCCAUAGAUAAACGGAUCUCGUAUACAUCAUGCCAUCGUUCUUAUUGCAUUACUCCAUUUUCCAUGAAUUUAAUACACUAGAUGCAUGCUGGAUAGCGGUCAAUGUGUGGAGUAAUCGUAGUAGAUGCAGGCAGGAGUCGGUCUAGUAAUCUUGGACGUGAUGCCUAUGUAAUGGUCAUUGCUUGGAUACCGUCAUAAUUAUUUGAGGUUCUAUCAAUUGCCCAACAGUAAUUUGUUUACCCACUGUUGGGGAUAUAACUAUUAGGUAUGACCCGCCCAGGAUGGGCCGGGUCAUCCCUAUGACGAUUCAUCACAAUGAAGCCCAUGAUCAGAUGGCGGUUCAUAGAUAGGCUUAGUAGAGGGCCCAGACUCGAAGGCGGCUUAAGGCCCAUAGAUAUAAACCGCCAUGUAUGUAAAACUUGUACUAUAAGGUAUGUAAGAAAGGUCACCGAGCUGGAUACGUUGUAUAAACCGGCCGAGACUCUGUAGUCCGCAGGACGUCAACCCGUGUAUAUAAGGGGACGACCUAGCAGCGGCUUAGGACAAGAAACAACAGAUCGAGAGCCGGGUCAAGCGUAUUCGCUCCCUGCUCAUCGAAACCCUAGCAAUACCACCUACAAUAGGACUAGGCUUUUACCUUCACCGUAAGGGGCCGAACCAGUAUAAACUCCUCGUGUCCUUUGUCCUGAUUAACCCCUUUAAGCUAACCUUAUCGCGAUGGAUCCACGACUAAGUCCUCACACUAGCUAGGACAUUUGCUGUGACAAUUCCACGACAAUUGGCGCCCACCGUGGGGCUAUCGCAUGAUGGUUUCGAGUUCUUAGAGGGAAACUUCGAAGGGAUCAAGGGAUACGCUGUGGGCCGGAUGACCAAGAGUCAUCGCGACAAGCUCUACAUCGACGACGCAGGCUGGGGCCUCGAGGCCGGCUCAAUUGAGUACGGGUACCGGGUCCCCUUCGGCGGAAUCCACGUCUUCAUUGGCAAGAUCGGUGAACCGGGCCCUGAGCCGGACAUCUGCACCAACAUCGUCGAGACGGCUCAGCAUGCGAGACCCGCCAAGAUUCGAUCUGCCAUGAAUCGUGCCCUCGUGGGAUUUAUCCAUGGAGUGAAUCUGAGGACAAACCGGCAUCUGGUGGUGAGACCGUCAUUUACUCUGAUGGCGAGUCAUCCACCGGUGAGACAAAGUCAUUGUAUCAACUGCCAGACGAUCGUUCCGAUGGCGACAAUAUUCCGGACCCCUGUGAGCCGCUGAAUCGGGUUGCAAUCUUCAUGGCCGGUACACAGCCUAUGCAGCACUCAUCAACAGCGGCAGAGUUGAUUUCCGGGUCGGCAACGGCAGCGGCUGCCGGGGCAGGAGGCCGUGAGCGCCCGCCGGCUCAGGUCUUAACUGACUUACUGGACAAGCUGACAACACUGUUAACAAUGGUGGUUAACCUGGCAGAUCAAGAUCAGCAUAAUGCGGCAAUCACAAAGCUGUGUGAUGAGAUAGCAUAGGCCAAGGAGGAGCUAAACAUAGAAAAUGCCAGGAUGGCCGAGGAGCGGACCGCUUUGGAUGCUCAGGCUCAACGGAUUCAGUCACAAUCUUACCGGCUCAUGUUAGAUCAAAACGCUUCCAAUGAAGUCAUGAGGAGGAGGCAUCAGACUCAUUUGCCUUUGGUUUAUGAGGCAAGGAAUCUCUUUAACACGCCAGGAGCAGGAACCAGUAACCCGACAGUAGCAAAUAGGGUCGAAGCACCUGGGACUGGUACGCCGGUUCAGCCGCGCACAAUGGACCCGCCUCAUCAGAACACCAACCUGCCGCAGCACGUACCGACGCCACUGGGUCAUUAUUCUAACCCUUUGGAUAACAUGAUCGCUGCAGCGUCACGACUGGCGGCUCUUCCGGUUGAUGGUGAGUCACCAACGGCGGUUGAGACACGGAGAGCCAGAGAGCUUCUUCAAACAGCACUGACCCAGCAACAGGCUUAUUCUUACAGUCGUGAUAGGAUUCAUUCCACCCCUCGCCCAAGACGAAGUUACAACAGACAUCUUGAUGAGCCGACGGUGUCAAGCAGUGGACGUAACCAUAACCCGCCAUGCGGGCAUAACCUGGCGGGCGGUGGUGUUGAUGCUCAGAAUGUGGUGGAUCAAGGAAGAGCCCGUCGAGAGGCCGAGUUAGCGGCACAGUAUGCAGCCCGUCAACCCACUCCGGUUCGUCCAACCACUUCUGUGGAGCCAGGUGUAACCUUUAGAAAUUUGGGCGUGCCAUGCUUAGUGCCGGAUCCACGUAAUGAGCGCCUUCCCAAGGAUUUCAAAGGUCCUCGCAAGGUGCCUAACUAUACAACCGAUUUAAGUCCCGAGGCAUGGAUUGAGAGUUAUGAGAUGGCCAUGGAGUUGCUGGAUGUCAGCGAGGCUGCAUGUGCUAAAUACUUCCCCCUGAUGUUAGAAGGGACGGCCCGCACUUGGUUGAAGGGGCUCCCUGCUAAUUCCAUCUGGUCAUGGGCCGAGUUAAAGGCCCGGUUCAUCCAGAACUUCAAGGAUACAUGUAAACAUCCCAUGUCAAUUAUGGAUCUGGCCUCCUGUGUUCAAGAAUAAGGUGAGUCAACAACCCAUUGGGUGCACCGGGUCUCAACAAUCUUGCACUCGUCGGAUCGCAUCAAUGCCGACUCAGCGGUGUUGAUGUUGGAGAACAAUUGUCGUUUCACGCCCUUGAAGUAGAAACUAGGGCGGCUCAAACGCCACUGCAAUGACAUGGGGACGCUCAUGGCGGCUCUCAUUAAGUAUGCUGACUCUGAUAGUACCAAGGACCCCGAGUCUGAUGAUGAAAAGCCGGGGAAGGGAAGGAAGAGCAGCAACACCAAGGGGCAGCAGUAUAACCCAGGAGGCAAUGGUAAGCGCAAGGCUGAUAAUAGUUUUGACUUUGUGGCUAACACCAAUGCACAGAAUAAUGGUCAACAUCGCAAGAGUAAACCGCCUCCACGGGCCGGAGGAUCCGGUAUAAAUCUUGAACAUAUGUUAAAUCAGCCUUGCCCAAAACAUGGUACGAAAGAAAGACCAUCCAGGCACCUAUGGAAGGAUUGUCACAUUAUGAAGGAGUACAGGAAUUCCAAUAUUUUUCAUGACAACCAUGGGCCAGGUGGCGGUUCUGGGCCCGGCUCUCACGGUUCGGGUUAUGGCGGUGGCGGUUCUAACUCUCGAUUCCAAGGAAAUCAAGGUAAUUACAACAACCAGGGUGGUUACAACCAACAGAGUAAUCAAGGGGGUUAGUAGCAGCAACAGUCUAGUUAUCAGAGCAACCCGAAGUAGUUGAAUAGUGGGCAAUAUCAUGUGUUCACCACUAGCUUGUGUAAGCGUGACUAGAAGCUUCAUAAGAGAUUAGUCAAUGAUGUUGAAUCGGCGGUUUCUCAUUAUCUGCAUUGGUCUGAGCAGCCCAUCGUGUGGAGUCGGGAAGAUCACCCGCCCCGGGUUGAUAAUCCGGGUCAUUUGGCUUUGGUGGUCGCACCUUAGGUCGAAGGGUAUAAGUUUACCAAAGUACUCAUGGACGGAGGGAGCAUCAUCAAUAUCCUUUAUUAUGAAACUUUCCGUCGCAUGGGGUUGACUGAUAAAAAUCUUAAGUCGUCAAACACUAUUUUCCAUGGCGUGGUGCCUGGUAAGUCGGCAUAUCCAGUUGGUAAGAUAGCUCUGGAAGUUGUUUUUGGAGAUGAUCAUGACUCUAGGUCAGAGACAUUGACCUUUGAAGUGGUCAAGAUCCAUAGCCCAUAUCAUGCUCUGUUUGGGCGUCCGGCUUAUGCCAAGUUCAUGGCGCAGCCGUGUUAGGUGUAUCUACAGCUCAAGAUGACGGGUCAAAAAGGAACCAUUACAGUGCAUGGGAGCCGUAAGAUAGCUCUGGAAUGUGAAGAAGAGGAUGCGGCUUAUGCUGAGUCGGUUUGUGCAAUGGAGGAGUUAAAAUUUUACAAAGACAAUGUUGACCCCGCAGAUAUGACGUCUUUGAAAAAGCCAACCACAGAGCAUGAUCUAGUUUUCAAGUUUAAAUCAGUAGAUGAUACCAAGAUGGUUAAUUUUGUUCCUGGCGAUUCAUCCAAGCAGUUCAGCAUCAGUGCUAAUCUGGAUCCGAAAUAGGAAAGCGCGCUCAUCGAGUUCAUCCGUGAGAACUGGGACAUCUUUACAUGGAAGCCUUCAGACAUGCCGGGUGUACCGAGAGAACUCGCUGAGCACACUCUUAAUAUUGAUCCAAAGUUUAAGCUGGUCAAACAGUUUCUUCACCGUUUUAAUGAGGAGAGACGGAAGGCCAUCGGAGAGGAAGUAGUCCGGCUCUUGGCAGCUGGGUUUAUCAUCGAAGUUUUACAUCCUGAGUGGUCGGCUAACCCGGUGCUGGUACUUAAGAAGAAUGACACUUGGCGUAUGUGUGUGGACUACACGGAUUUAAAGAAGGCUUGUUCGGCUAAUCCUUUUGCUCUCCCUCGUGUUGAUCCGAUUAUUGAUGCUACAACGGGUUGUGAGCGUUUGAGUUUUUUGGAUGCUUAUUCUGGUUAUCAUUAGAUCAAAAUGGCAGUUGAGGGAGUCCGCUUUAACGCAUCGCCCCAUUCUCAAGUAGCUAUCAAGCACUGCUGGGACGCGAAGCUUUCGCCGGCUUUAACGCAAUACCGCAUUAUGCAUCUCUUACGCUUAAGAUGCCCGGUCCACGAGGCGUCAUCUCAUUAAAGGGAAAACAUUGAGUGUUCCUCCCGCGCAGAAAACAGUGCGGCUGCCUUGACAGCCCCACAAUAAAGCGGCUACACCAGCCAAACCAUCUAAACAGGUCGUCAAGACCACGGACACGGCCAGACGAGUCCAGCAUAAACAUACAAUUGAUAUAGGCUUAAUAGCCGUAUACCCCUGUACUAGGGGCUCCGCGCAUAUAAAACAAGAGACAAUAAAGCUCAAUUUUACCCAUUUCGAUUCAUACUUUGUUUAUUUAGUAUAACUCAUGUUCGGCACGAUCUUUCUUUAACUAAGUUCCUCUCUUUUACAGAUGAACACCAUGCUACGCCCGUCCAGGAUACGACACAGCGAAGACACAGGCGUAGACGUGCAGCAGGGACCUGUUCCAAGGAUUCUUUUCAGAUUAAGACCCUGCGUAAACCUUUUUUAUUGUCUCUUGUUGAUACACAUCCCCUGGUUUCUUGGUAUAACCAAGGAGGAGGCUGGCGUUUUGGCAUGUGGCCACGUCAGCGUUUUGCGCGUACCUGGACACUAGGGGCUUAUUACUAAGGGCGUUAUCCCGCCCGCCCUCAUAAAGACCGAAUACCUUAGGGAGUGUUCGGGGUCGCGAGUUUGUCCUUAUAUGCAUCAGCUCCGAAUCAUGUCUUUGGUCAAAUGUUGGGUUUGCCCGGCUCCUGUGUUUUGCUGCCUUACGUUCCUCUCUAUCGGCUAAGGCGGCACCAGGAGAACUACCGCUAUUGUGCCCCGGUUCGGCCAGGCGAGCACCUCGGUAGAGAAAGCCGAAAACUGACUGUCAUGAUAUAGCGUGAGACUGGUCAACCACUCGAUGACAUACCGGAAUCUUUUGGAUUCCUCCGCAUUAACGAAGGGCCGUUUCCCGGCCAAGCACAUACGCGCCCCGAGUUCGGGCGAGCGCAGGCGCCACCAGGGGCUAUAUAAGUAGCCUCAAUGUCAAACUCCUAUGGCUAAGUGAAAGUGAUAAAGCACCAUAGUCCGAUUGCCUAGUUCGCUGCGCUAUCACCUCCUUUGUAGGACCAAGACAUUGGAUCAAGUGUGAAAAUGCGCCUUCUAUGAACACCCCCGCAUUAUGUGCGUGGGGGCUGAAGCCGACGACUGCCAUCUUUCAGAUUAUAUAUACAUAUAUGUUAAACGGCCGCACAGGAGGUAUCAUAAUACUUGUAGGCACAAGUAUAAAAAGCUUCUACAAUUUAUCAAAAUAUUGUUUUACAAUAAUACAUGCUAUUCGAAUAUAGUAUCCUUCGAGCACUGCAUCUCUAUUAAACAAGCGCCUUGUAGAACUUCCUGAAAAUAGCGCUCGACAGGUACUCGACUUCCAUCCGAGUCUGGGGAUGCAACAUCGGUGGCUUCCAUUUCCCCCCAGUAUGUCUUGACACGGGCAAGAGCCAUCCGCGCACCCUCUAUGCACGCUGACCUCUUCAUUGCAUUGAUAUGCGGCGCCGCACCAAGGAACUGCUACACCAAGUUGAAAUAACUUUUCGGUUCUGGUCUCUCUGGCCACAGAUGACUCACGGCAUACUUCAUGGCGAGUCCAGACAACCUAUUUAGCUUGGCCCAUUCGGCCAAACGAUCGGCUAAUGACAGUGGACGCUCUGGAUUGUGGAAUUGCGACCAGAAGAGCUUUUCCACUUCGCGAUCUUCUUGAUCUCGGAGGUGCUCGGCCGCAUCUGCGGCACUCACUGCUAAAUCCAGAUAGGUGUCUGCCAUACUCCACAUCUGGUCUAACGGAGCAUGUUUAGGAUCACAGAACUUCCUCCGCAGCAUAAAGGGCUUUCCAGCCGCGAUUUCUCCAACCUGACGCAGCUCCUCCUUCAUAGCUCUCAUCGCAGAGCGAGCAUCCUUGGCAUCGGCAACGACCUUUUUCAGGUCCGUCUAUUCCGCCCGAUCUUCUUUUUCAAGAAGCUUGCAAUGGUCAGCAAUGUUCUUCAGCUUCACGGCAAUCUCGGCCAUUUCCUUCUUGCUUCGGCAGUGAGCAACCUGUUCAGCUUUCAGCUCUUCAAUUGCCUUUACGGCAGCCGCAUCACUUUUCCUGGCUUGCUCCUUGGCUCGGGCAAGUUCUGCCCGAAGAUUCUCCAUGGUAGCAGCACCAUCUGCAUCAAGCGCACACAUUGUAAGAUACUGGCAUAAAGCUCCUCUUACCAGGCGCCGCCGAAGGAAUUACAUACCUUGUGCCUCGUCAAGCCGCUUGUUGACAAGCGCGAUGUCGGCAUCUGCCACGUCAAGUUGCCGCUUUAGCUCGACAAAUCGAUCAGUCCGACUGGCCACCGAACACUUCGCCACCUACGUAUAAAGGCGGCAUAUUAGACCUGGGAUUAUGAUCCUCUAUGCGUCGUCACUUUUGACAACACACAGAGUCUCAGGGGCUACAAUCUACACAGGGCGCAUCUUAUUUAUGCGCAACUGUCAAAAAGGGUACAUUAUUUUGCGUACCUCAAAACCUGUCAGUGAACUCCUGACGACCUCGUGCAACCCGCUCUCCGCGGAUGAAAUCCUCUCAAUCACCGUACCCAUCAAUGCACGAUGCUCCUCUGAGAUAGAUGCUCGCCCUAGCAGAUCCUUCAGCUCCUCCGACCGCACACCAGACGGCGCCGGGCUCGUCCGAUGGCCCUUUUCGAAGGCCGGACACGGAGGGCUUUGGGGGGCCAUAUGACUACCUUCUGGCCCCACCAGAUUCGGAGAAACCCUCCGCGACGAUACCUCAGGGUCGCCCGCCUCGCAAGGCGGUACGGCAGGGGGAGGCGUUCCGCUCUCCAUCAUCUCCAUAAGAAGAUCCCCCGAAGACGAGCUCUGCUGAGAAGGGUAAGGUCCGAGCUACAAGGUAAAUUUUCGAUUACUUUUCUCAGAUAUAAAGCAGGGAUUUCUCUCGUUUAUUAAAAAGAAAACUCCUCUCUACUUACGGCUCGGUGGAGGGCUGAUCCCCUUGAUGGCAUAAUUCGGCCGAAGUAUCCCCCAACACAGGACCCUCUGGCGAAGAUUUCUUCCCCCGCUUUAAGGCCAUGGUCUCCGGGUCUUCACAGGCGGUCCUUUUCUUCCCCUGAGAAGAGGAAUUUUUGAUUCCCCCCUUCCGGACAACCUCCUUUGAGGAGGCUGUAGCUCCCUUGUCCCCUCCCUCGCUUCCCUUUAAAGGCACAACCUCCAACAUCCUGACUAGCACGGGACACGGCGUGGUCUCGGGGAGGGGGGCCGGACACCUGAUUAGCUUUGCUUUCGCUAUCCACUCCUGUUUAAAGGACAACUCUUUUAGGGGCAAUUUGAUGAUAAAUAUACGGAUAGCGAGUCCGGGCACAAGGCUACUUACUUGAGUAUCCAGACGAUUGCAGCUCAGACCCGCGUCCUCCGUAGAGUCCUGACACACUACUUGUGGUCAGAAGAACAAUUUGUACAUCUCCACGGGCAUCAUGCCAAGAAAAUGUUGGAGAACUCGUGGUCCCUCCGGGUUGAACUCCCACAGGCGGAGGGGGCGACGUUUGCAGGGCAGAACUCGGCAAACUAACAUAACCUACGUCACCAUGACCAGAUUGAUGUUUCUUUCUAGGAGAUCUCGGAUGUGGCCCUGCAACAGGGGCACGUCCUUUGUCGGCCCCCAGUCCAGCCCCGUAUUGACCCAUGAUGCUAGUCGUGGCGGGGGACUUGAGCGAAAGGCAGGUGGCGCCACCCACUUAGGGGCCCCAGGAGCGGUAAUAUAAAACCACUCUCGCUGCCAUAAGCUGGACUCCUCUUGAAAAGAGCCCUCGGGCCAUGGAGUACCAGCAUUCUUUCUUAUAAAAGCACCUCCGCACUCCGCAUGCCGUCCCUCGAUCAUCUUCGGCUCUACUUUGAAGGUCUUGAGCCAUAGUCCGAAGUGAGGAGUGAUACGGAGGAAGGCUUCACACACGAUGAUGAAUGAGGAAAUAUGGAGGAUGGACUCCAGGGCUAAGUCAUGAAAUUCCAGCCCAUAAUAAUACAUGAGCCCCCUCACGAAGGGAUCCAUUGGGAAGCCUAGCCCCUGAAGGAAGUGAGACAUGAACACCACACUCUCACCGGGCUUGGGAGUGGGAAUGACCUGCCCUUGAGCAGGCAGCCUAUGCGAGAUUUCGCCGGUCAAGAACCUGGCCUCUCUCAACUUUAGCAUGUCCUCCUCCGUGACGGAGGAAGGCAUCCAUCGGCCUCGAAGGUCAGAACCGGACAUUGUCGAAGGUUCGAAGCGCCUGAAAUCUGGAGCCUUGGGUGUUGGAACUCGAGGCGAAGGGCGAACUCGUUUGAGAUUGAAAGAAAGGAGUAAGGCCUUGGUCUCUUUAUAAGAGGUUGAAUACCAAGGGCCUUCCCCGUGACCGUUUGGGACUCGCCUUUGAUCGAGAAAAUAUACCAACGAGUAUGGUUGGGUUACCCACGCCCGUGUUGAUGAGAAUCCCGGAAUAAGGGGACACGAUCUCUGCUUAAACAAGACGUGCCAAGGAAACUGCCUCGCUAAACGCGCUAAGGUGGGACAAUAAAACGAUUCGAAUAAAGACUUGGCCAUGGUGUGAUGUCACGCUACGGAAUACGUCAGCAUAUUAGAUUUGUGUAAAUAUUAUUCUCUCUAUGGCAAUACGUGGAAACUUAUUUUGCAGAGCUGGACACUACCUUUGUGUUCAAAAUCUUCUAUGAAGUACUUGGAGGAGGAACCCGCCUUGCAAUGCCGAAGACAAUCUGCGCCCCGGACUCGUCGUCAUUGAAGCCUGGUUCAGGGGCUACUGAGGGAGUCCUGGAUUAGGGGGUGUCCGGAUGGCCGGACUAUACCUUCGGCCGGACUCCUGGACUAUGAAGAUACAAGAUUGAAGACUUCGUCCCGUGUCCGGAAGGGACUUUCCCUGGCGUGGAAGGCAAGCUUGGCGAUACGGAUAUGUAGAUCUCCUACCAUUGUAACCGACUCUGUGUAACCCUAGCCCUCUCCGGUGCCUAUAUAAACCGGAGAGUUUUAGUCCGUAGGACGGACAACAAUCAUACCAUAGGCGAGCUUCUAGGGUUUAGCCUCUCUGAUCUCGUGGUAGAUCUACUCUUGUACUACCCAUAUCAUCAAUAUUAAUCAAGCAGGACGUACGGUUUUACCUCCAUCAAG
rnacentral:lncRNA from 1 species